CCUACGGGUGGCAGCAGUGAGGAAUAUUGGUCAAUGGACGAGAGUCUGAACCAGCCAAGUAGCGUGCAGGAUGACUGCCCUAUGGGUUGUAAACUUCUUUUAUAAAGGAAUAAACCGAGGCACGCGUGCCUUUUUGCAUGUACUUUAUGAAUAAGGAUCGGCUAACUCCGUGCCAGCAGCCGCGGUAAUACGGAGGAUCCGAGCGUUAUCCGGAUUUAUUGGGUUUAAAGGGAGCGUAGAUGGGUUGUUAAGUCAGUUGUGAAAGUUUGGGGCUCAACUGUAGAAUUGCAAUUGAUACUGGCAGUCUUGAGUACAGUUGAGGUAGGCGGAAUGCGUGGUGUAGCGGUGAAAUGCUUAGAUAUCACGAAGAACCCCGAUUGCGAAGGCAGCUUACUAAACUGUUACUGACAUUGAUGCUCGAAAGUGUGGGGAUCAAACAGGAUUAGAUACCCCAGUAGUC
rnacentral:rRNA from 1 species